GACGAACGCUGGCGGCGUGCUUAACACAUGCAAGUCGAGCGGCGCGGCGAACGGGUGAGUAACGCGUGAGUAACUGCCCCCCUCUCUGGGAUCACAGUUGGAAACGGCUGCUAAUACCGGCUAGUGGGGGAUGACUCGCGUCCUAUCAGUUUGUUGGUGGGGUAGUGGCCUACCAAGGCGACGACGGGUAGCCGGCCUGAGAGGGCGACCGGCCACAUGGGGCGGAGAUACGGCGCAAAAUCCUACGGGAGGCAGCAGUGGGGAAUAUGGCGCAAUGGGGGAAACCCUGAUGCAGAAACGCCGCGUGCGGGAUGACGGCCUGCGGGUGGUAAACCGCUUUGAGCCAUGACGCGGUAGUGGCAGAAGAAGCACUGGCUAACUACGUGCCAGCAGCCGCGGUAAUUC
rnacentral:rRNA from 1 species